AAGGUCUCAGUUCAGAUUGCAGGCUGCAACCCGCCUGCAUGAAGUCGGAAUUGCUAGUAAUCGCGGAUCAGCAUGCCGCCGGUGAAUACGUUCCCGGGCCUUGUACACACCGCCCGUCACACCAUGGGAGCCGGUAAUACCCGAAGUCAGUAGUCCAACCUCGUGAGGACGCUGCCGAAGGUAGGAUUGGCGACUGGGGUGAAGUCGUAACAAGGUACC
rnacentral:rRNA from 1 species